GUCAGUCAAGGAGGGAACCCGGCGUGUGAAGGCUGUGGGGACGGUGUGGAGGCAGCGGAGAUACUUGUCGUUCAGGUUACGGAAACGAGGACUUGCGCACUCCCUCCCCUUUAAUUGCCAUCAUAAGGCUCCGAGUCGCCCUCCGUGAACGACUCGCUGAUGGGGACAGAGCUGGGCGGAAACACAGCCGGCAUCGACGCCCUGUAGGGAGGACUGUCAUCGGAGCAGGGUUCGGUGAUGUGUGGUGGUGGCACGGUGCGGCGGUGGUGCUGUGUUGGCGAGUGCUGGGCCUCCUCAGGGACCCCAGCGACGUGGCCUCCGCCCAGAACCUCGCCCAGAUCUUGAAGCAUUUCUCAGAGCUCAUGGAGACACCGGUGAAGCUGCGCAACAAUUACCAGAGCAUCUCCCUGGACACUCAAAGCAGCCCGGAGCCGCCAGAGCUCAUCCUGCCCCACACACGUGGUGGCUCCUUGCUGCGUCAGGGAGGUGGUCAACGCGCUGGUGGCCGAGUGUGGGCCUGCAACUGGCUUCUCGCUGGGUCUGCCGGGGUCUUCAGUACCCACCCUGGACUCCAUUUUGGCCACCAGCACCGUCACCACCUCCACCGAUGCCAAAGUUGUGAGUCUUCAACUUCACCCACUUGUGCGGGACAGACUCAGCUUUCACUCUGCCUUUUCACCUUCAUCACGCACCUUCCUUCACAACUCCACCAACUCCAAAGUUGUCAGUGGCACCCCAUUCUUACCCCUCUUUUUGACACGUUUUUUUAUUUUCCUUGAGCUGCCUCCCUUCCUUGAUGUACUAAAGAAGAAAUCUUAUCUAUUCACUUGUGCCAGAAAGAGACUAAAAGCACUCCACCUCUUAACUUUUAUAAUGGUUAUUAUUGACCCACUUUACUUACUGCGUACCUCCACAGCCUCUUAACUUUUAUCUCCCUUCCUGCCAUCAGCAGAGCAGUCCCUCGGUAUUUACUGCCAUACCCACCUGUGCCAGAGACUAAUCCUUGUACCCUCCUUCACCUACCUUCCUUCCUCCCCUUCUCAACAGCCACACCCUUUAGUGCUGUUGAGGCUAGCAGCACUCCUCAUAAGAACAUAAGAACAUGGGGAAACUGCAAGAGGCCGAGUGGCCUACACAGGGCAGCUCCAGAAACCCCCCACUACUCACGAUGGGUGAGGUGUAGUUUCAGGGGUUACAGGUAGAGGCUUGAUCCUCGUUUACCUUCGGUACGGGCGUACGCUCCAGUACUCUGUCUUCUUACUGCACCCACACUGCACUGCCACCUGUCAUCCUCGUCCAUGUAGUUACCCAGUCUACUCUUAAAACAAGCUAUCGUCCCUGCACUAACUGUGUGAUUGCUGAAUCUAUUCCAUUGCCCCACCACCCUAUUACUAAACCAAUGCUUGCCUAUAUCUCUCCUAAAUCUAUAAUUUUCUCAUUUAAAUCAUUACUGCGUGUUCUAUCCUGCUGGCUAAUUCUCAGUACUUUACUUAUAUCGCCUUUGUUGUAACCCUUGACCCAUUUGAAUACUUCUAUCAGAUCUCCCUGCACUCUUCGUCUUUCUAGUGAAUGUAAGUUGAGAUGUUUCAGCCUAUCUUGAUAUGGGAGGCUCCUCAGCCCCUGAAUCAUCUUGGUCAUCGUCCUCUGAACUGAUUCUAGCAAGUUGAUGUCCAUUCUGUAGUGUGAGCACCAAAACUGGAGCAUAAUCUAAGUGUGGCCUAACUAACGCUAAAUAGAGUCUGACCUCUGCACUCCUGUUGGUUACUGUCCUGUUAAUAAAGCCUAAUACCCUGUUAGCCCUAUUCCUUGCACUAAUACAUUGCUUCCUUAGUUUUUGGUCAGAGUUCACUAACACUCCUAAAGCCCUUUCACACACUGAUCUACCUAUCGCUGUAAUGGGUUGCAUGUUCCUACACUAAGUACGCUACACUUGGUGAUGUUAAAAUUCAUCUGCCAUUUCUCUGACCAUGCAAGCUGACAGUUUGUUGAGAUCAUCCUGCAGUGCUCUAGCAUCCUCCCCUGUCCUAAUAGUGCAUCCUAUUUUGGUGUCAUCUGCAA